GUCGACGAAGGGAAGGGGGCUUGCCCCCUGAACUUAGUGGCGGACGGGUGAGUAACACGUGAGCAACCUGCCCUAUAGAGGGGGAUAACGUUUGGAAACGAACGCUAAUACCGCAUAACGCGCUGGGGGGACAUCCCUUUGGCGCCAAAGGAGCAAUCCGCUAUAGGAUGGGCUCGCGUCCGAUUAGAUAGUUGGCGGGGUAACGGCCCACCAAGUCGACGAUCGGUAGCCGGACUGAGAGGUUGAACGGCCACAUUGGGACUGAGACACGGCCCAGACUCCUACGGGAGGCAGCAGUGGGGGAUAUUGCACAAUGGAGGGAACUCUGAUGCAGCGACGCCGCGUGAGGGAAGAAGGUUUUCGGAUUGUAAACCUCUGUCUUCGGUGACGAAACGAGACGGUAGCCGAGGAGGAAGCCACGGCUAACUACGUGCCAGCAGCCGCGGUAAUACGUAGGUGGCAAGCGUUGUCCGGAAUUACUGGGUGUAAAGGGAGCGUAGGCGGGAAAGCAAGUUGAAUGUUUAAGGUAAGGGCUCAACCUGUACAAGCGUUCAAAACUGUUUUUCUUGAGUGGAGUAGAGGUAAGCGGAAUUCCUAGUGUAGCGGUGAAAUGCGUAAAUAUUAGGAGGAACACCAGUGGCGAAGGCGGCUUACUGGGCUUUAACUGACGCUGAGGCUCGAAAGCGUGGGUAGCAAACAGGAUUAGAUACCCUGGUAGUCCACGCCGUAAACGAUGAUUACUAGGUGUGGGGGGACUGACCCCUUCCGUGCCGGAGUUAACACAAUAAGUA
rnacentral:rRNA from 1 species